rnacentral:rRNA from 1 species
AGAGCGAACGCUGGCGGCAGGCCUAACACAUGCAAGUCGAGCGCCCCGCAAGGGGAGCGGCAGACGGGAGAGUAACACGUGGGAACGUACCCUUUGGUUCGGAACAACACAGGGAAACUUGUGCUAAUACCGGAUAAGCCCUUACGGGGAAAGAUUUAUUGCCAAAGGAUCGGCCCGCGUCUGAUUAGCUUGUUGGUGAGGUAACGGCUCACCAAGGCUACGAUCAGUAGCUGGUCUGAGAGGAUGAUCAGCCUCACUGGGACUGAGACACGGCCCAGACUCCUACGGGAGGCAGCAGUGGGGAAUAUUGGACAAUGGGCGCAAGCCUGAUCCAGCCAUGCCGCGUGGAUGAUGAAGGCCCUAGGGUUGUAAAGUCCUUUCGACGGGGAAGAUAAUGACGGUACCCGUAGAAGAAGCCCCGGCUAACUUCGUAGCCAGCAGCCGC